CCCACGCUCGUACUUCCCAAACAAACAUCUGCAGGUAAACAAACGAGCGCUACGCAGUAAUCUCGGACACGUCACAUCGAUCUGAUGGACAUACAGUUUGAAUUGAUGGAUGUUAUGACAUAUCGUUGGCUUUUGCUAUAGGAUAUUUUUUCCAGGACAUGCAGGACUGGACGGAAAUGGAUGUGCAAUCCGUUAGUUUCUUCGCCGAGCCGUCUUCAUUGUUUCACAGUAAAACUAAAAUGGGAAUAAUUUUGUAUGCGCUAAUGCAGAACAAAGCCAGAGCUCCUGGCCAAACGUGAUGGCUCCUCCUUAUACUCUACCCCAGCUCAUAGAAGCAAGCAGAAGACAAAGAGAACGAGGAGGCCAGGCUCCCAGAUUGCAGAUACUAGAAGGCCCGUGUGAAGGAAGUGAAGUCACCGGAGCGUGUCAGGGGGUGAAGGCAGGAGAGAAGGGAAAGUUUUCGUAGAUUGACCCACCAUAUUCGGGCACGGAGCCAUCGCCCCGCUUGAGGACCAAGCGCACCCUCCGCCCACCGUUUUUAAUCAGUUCGAUGGCACGGGCAUGCUUCAUGUUCUUGGUGCUCUCUCCAUUGAUCUCCAGGAUCUCGUCUCCGACCUGCGUUUGUGAUACGGGACGGGGGGAGGGCGGAAGAACAAAUCACUACUGUGCAGAGAACUCUGGUUGAAUUACACGCGCAGAAAAAAGGCGCCCAUUGACAACGAUGUCGGCUUGUUCUGUAAGGGAAAGCUGAAGUCUCUCUACCCCCCAGUUCAAAGCUGUCAGUGCUCUCUGCCAGGGGAAUACCAUCUGCACUGAAACAAGCCCCUUCUUGACACUUCUGUAUGCUUCCCUGUACUGUGUUACUAUUAAUAUCUCAUCUAACAAGCUCAACUCAGAGACAAAAAGGACUGGUGACAAUGAACAGUGCCUCAAUGUAUAGCAGCUACAAUGCUGCUGAUAGAACAAAUAUUUGAAAGUCUCAUUACCAUUUUAAUAAUUUAGUUCUAAUUACAAUCUAAUUUCAUAUUAAUAUUGACAGAAACAGAAUCAACCAUACAUAAUAUCCUCAUGAUAUAGCACAAAACCGUUGGAUUGGUUAUGUUUUAAUGCUUCAGCAUCAAAUGCAUCUGGCCUGACCUAUUUAAUACUGACACACUUAUUCUGAGAGCUACAAAUGCUGUAUGAUUUUAUAGCAAUAUGCUACAAGAGCAUAUCAUGAACUACAUGCUAUAUCUGUAUCAAACGUACCCGCAUCUUCCCAUUUCGGACCGCUGCCCCAUCUUCAGCUAGCCUGAGGACGUAGAGGUCCAUGUUAUACUCGCGGCCCCCGCGAAGACUGAAUCCAAAACCUUUAUUGUCCCGUUCAAGGUCAACUGAAUAGAACUCUGGGUCCUAUAGGGAAAAGGACAGACAGUGCACAAAAAAAUUACCAACAUGACAACCAUCUGAAGAGGUCGUGGUUUCAGCACAAAAGACAGGUACCACCCUCCAGGAAAGUCACGCUGAAUCAACAGGACAGUUCAAUGCUCAAGAUCAAAUUAAUAAUUGAUUCCUUUGGAUUCACAAAUAUUUUGGGACUUUCUGAAGAACCACACGGACAUUACAGGAAGAUGGUCUGAAUCUAAAGAUUUACCCCAAGCGUAUGACUUUGAAGGCGAGGAAGGCAAUGGAGGGCAUUAAGAAUGAUCAUGCUCGGGCGGUGCAUACCGAAGGUGGUCCCGGCCUCGGGCCGGGAGACGGACGAGACGAUGACGAAGCCGAAGCCCUCGUUCUCGCCGCGGCGGAUCUCCACGUCGUAGGGCUGCACGGCGGUGCUGACCACGGCGCUCCCGCUGCCUCCCCCUCCCCCGCUGCCGAUGCCGCUGGUGCUGCCGCUGCCCGAGCUCACCGUGUUGAGCGAGUUCUGGCUGCCCUGCGGCGUGCGCUUCUCCUCCGUCAGCGAGGGCGCCUGGUUGCUGCUGUGGUGGGACGAGGCCGGGGACGGCGGGACGUCGCCGUCCGUCUUGGACGCUGAGCGGAAGGAAGGGGAGGACGAGCAAUGAGACGCGGAGCCAUUGGUUAAAACGGGCCCCAUCUGCUCCUUUACCUCCAUAGCCAGUCUUGCGCCGGACAGUCAGGUUGACGUGUCCCUGUUUGGCAGCCUGCUGCAUCAGUUGGACCACCAGCUGGUGGGACUUCCCCACCACGGCCGUCCCGUCCACGCAGAUCAGCUCGUCCCCAGACCGCAGCCGACCGUCCUCGUCGGCGGCCCCGUACUUCACGAUGUGCCCGAUGUAGAUCUGGCCAGCGACAGAGACGGACCGUGUCAGCCGGAGAACAAGAUGCCACCGAGCUUGUCUUUCAAGUGACAGAACGCGGUUCAGCAUGCCGAUGACUCUUGGAUUCCCUAACUCACUGUCUCCUUAAUCCUGUUGUAUUUCCCCAACCAAUUAAAACCCAGGGGGAUGAUUAUUUUCUUUCUCCAACAGCUGUAUAAAUCAGCUUGAAAGAACAGCAAACUUUCAAGGGAAGGAAACUGGUGUUCACAUUUUAGAUCUUGUUUUUUUCUUCAUUUUUUAAGCUGCAUUGACCAAGCUGGUGGGAGGCAUGGGAGCAUAUAUUUGUAUUGCAUUGCAUAAUGGUCUCCACCACACAGACUCAAGUUCUUGUCGCUAUCUGUGCCUUAAAGUCCUAGUUAUCCUCCAGUGGCAAGCAGCAGAACACUCAGCUAGAUGCUGCAUACUAAAUGCACUAAGCUGAAGAAGCCACCGCCUUCAUACUGAUGACUGCUAGUAUUCCCCAACACCCACAGCUCUCUCUGUGCAGCACUCUCUGUGAGAAUCAUUAAGGCAGGCUUUCCAAUUUUCGCUUAUACCCCUUCUUUGAUUUUGAAUUGAAUUACAUUUUAAAGUUUGAACUUAUGACAUAAAAUAUGGUUUAGAAAAAUAAAAUAAAAGACCUUCUGCAAACAUUAAAA